rnacentral:tRNA from 1 species
GCAGCGGUAGCUCAGUGGUAGAGCAACCGAAACUCAUCGGUAGGUCGUUGGUUCGACUCCAGCCCGUUGCUCCU